rnacentral:rRNA from 1 species
GAUGAACGCUGGCGGUAUGCUUUACACAUGCAAGUCGUACGAGAGUUUUUAACUCAAGUGGCGGACGGGUGAGUAACACGUAAGAAUUUGCCUCUAGGAGGGGGACAACAACUGGAAACGGUUGCUAAUACCCCAUAUGCUUUCGAGUGAAAUGGAUAUUUCCGCCUAAAGAGAAGCUUGCGGCUGAUUAGCUUGUUGGUGAGGUAAUGGCUCACCAAGGCGACGAUCAGUAUCUGGUUUGAGAGGACGAUCAGACACACUGGAACUGAGACACGGUCCAGACUCCUACGGGAGGCAGCAGUGGGGAAUUUUCCGCAAUGGGCGAAAGCCUGACGGAGCAAUACCGCGUGAGGGAUGACGGCCUAUGGGUUGUAAACCUCUUUUUUCAGGGAGGAAUCAAAUGACGUGUACCUGAAGAAUAAGCAUCGGCUAACUCCGUGCCAGCAGCCGCGGUAAGACGGAGGAUGCAAGUGUUAUCCGGAAUCACUGGGCGUAAAGCGUCUGUAGGUGGUCCAAUAAGUCAACUGUUAAAUCUUGAGGCUCAACCUCAAAAUCGCAGUCGAAACUA